AGUCGAGCGGACAGAUGGGAGCUUGCUCCCUGAUGUUAGCGGCGGACGGGUGAGUAACCCGUGGGUAACCUGCCUGUAGGACUGGGAUAACUCCGGGAAACCGGGGCUAAUACCGGAUGGUUGUUUGAACCGCAUGGUUCAGACAUAAAAGGUGGCUUCGGCUACCACUUACAGAUGGACCCGCGGCGCAUUAGGUAGUUGGUGAGGUAACGGAUCACCAAGGCGACGAUGCAUAGCCGACCUGAGAGGGUGAUCGGCCACACUGGGACUGACUACGGCCCAAACUCCUACGGGAGGCAGCAGUAGGGAAUCUUCCACAAUGAACCAAAGUCUGACGGAGCAACGCCACGGGAGUGAUAAAGGUUUUCGGAUCGUAAAGCUCUGUUGGUAGGGAAGAACAAGUGCCGUUCAAAUAAGGCGGCCCCUUGACGGUACCUAACCAGAAAGCCACGGCUAACUACCUGCCAUCAGCCGCGGUAAUACGUAGGUGGCAAGUGUUGUCCGGAAUUAUUGGGCGUAAAGGGCUCUCAGGCGGAUUCUUAAGUCUGAUGUGAAAGCCUUAAGUCUGAAGCUCAACCCGGGGAGGGUCAUUGGA
rnacentral:rRNA from 1 species